rnacentral:rRNA from 1 species
GAUGAACGCUGGCGGCGUGCCUAAUACAUGCAAGUCGAGCGAACAGAUAAGGAGCUUGCUCCUUUGACGUUAGCGGCGGACGGGUGAGUAACACGUGGGUAACCUACCUAUAAGACUGGGAUAACUUCGGGAAACCGGAGCUAAUACCGGAUAAUAUUUCGAACCGCAUGGUUCGAUAGUGAAAGAUGGUUUUGCUAUCACUUAUAGAUGGACCCGCGCCGUAUUAGCUAGUUGGUAAGGUAACGGCUUACCAAGGCGACGAUACGUAGCCGACCUGAGAGGGUGAUCGGACACACUGGAACGGAGACACGGUCCAGACACCUACGGGAGGCAGCAGUAGGGAAUCUUCCGCAAUGGGCGAAAGCAUGACGGAGCAAAGCCGCGUGAGUGAUGAAGGUCUUCGGAUCGUAAAACUCUGUUAUUAGGGAAGAACAUAAGUGUAAGUAACUGUGCACGUCUUGACGGUACCUAAUCAGAAAGCCACGGCUAACUACGUG